UACGUAGGGUGCAAGCGUUGUCCGGAAUUAUUGGGCGUAAAGAGCUCGUAGGCGGUUUGUCGCGUCGAAUGUGAAAACCCGGGGCUCAACCCCGGGCCUGCAGCCGAUACGGGCAGACUAGAGUUCGGCAGGGGAGACUGGAAUUCCUGGUGUAGCAGUGAAAUGCGUAGAUAUCAGGAGGAAUACCGAUGGCGAAGGCAGGUCUCUGGGCUGACACUGACGCUCAUGCACGAAAGCGUGGGGAGCAAACAGG
rnacentral:rRNA from 1 species